UGGGGGAUAUUGCACAAUGGGCGCAAGCCUGAUGCAGCGACGCCGCGUGGGGGAUGAAGGCCUUCGGGUUGUAAACUUCUUUUGCUCUGAACAAGGCGCACUUUGGGGUGUGUUGAGUGUAGGGGUUGAUUAGCGCCGGCUAACUACGUGCCAGCAGCCGCGGUAAUACGUAGGGCGCGAGCGUUGUCCGGAAUUAUUGGGCGUAAAGGGCUUGUAGGUGGCUGGUUGCGUCUGUCGUGAAAGCUCAUGGCUUAACUGUGGGUUUGCGGUGGGUACGGGCUGGCUUGAUUGCAGUAGGGGAGGCUGGAAUUCCUGGUGUAGCGGUGGAAUGCGCAGAUAUCAGGAGGAAUACCGGUGGCGAGGGCGGGUCUCUGGGCUGUUACUGACACUGAGGAGCGAAAGCAUGGGGAGCGAACAGG
rnacentral:rRNA from 1 species